CGGUAACUGGCUCAGUGGUAGCCCUGCUGGCUGGUAACCCAGUGGGUCCCAGGUUUGAAACCCGGCUCUGA